GGUGAAUGCUGGAAUGCUGGAAUGUGUUCCACCUUCUGUGACGUCUCUGAGCACAGGGUGGUGCAUCCUCGAAACAUCCCCAAGGUUCCCUACCCAGCUCCAUCUUGGACUCUGAAAUUAUUUGCUCUAGAAAAGCUUCUUUACACUACUGUAUUUAAACUAUUUUUUUAUUUUUGUAAUUAAUUUAAUCCUAAAUUUUUGGGAUUCUCUUCCAUGAAACAAUGGGCAGUGGAUUUGAUCCAGUUCCUUUUGGUGAUUCCAUUUGCAUUUACCUUUGGGAUGCAGAGUGAAGCCAGAAAUACAUUGAAAUACAGACUCAGAAAAGCACACAGAGAAGGAACUCAGAGAACCAGAAGAUUUGACAUCCACUGGAAAAAGAAAUUCAUAACUUCUUGAGUUUAUCCUGGGCUGGAAUUGUUCAGAAGGAGAAAAUCACAAAGUUA